GACGAACGCUGGCGGCGUGCUUAACACAUGCAAGUCGAACGGAAAGGCCCUGCUUUUGUGGGGUGCUCGAGUGGCGAACGGGUGAGUAACACGUGAGUAACCUGCCCUUGACUUUGGGAUAACUUCAGGAAACUGGGGCUAAUACCGGAUAGGAGCUCCUGCUGCAUGGUGGGGGUUGGAAAGUUUCGGCGGUUGGGGAUGGACUCGCGGCUUAUCAGCUUGUUGGUGGGGUAGUGGCUUACCAAGGCUUUGACGGGUAGGCGGCCUGAGAGGGUGACCGGCCACCUUGGGCCUGAGAUACGGCGCAGUCUGCAACGGGAGGCAGCAGUGGGAAAUAUUGCACAAUGAGCGGGAGUCUGAUGCGACAGCGCCGCGUGCGGGAUGACGGCCUUCGGGUUAUAAACCGCUUUCGCCUGUGACGAAGCGUGAGUGACGGUAAUGGGUAAAGAAGCACCGGCUAACUACGUG
rnacentral:rRNA from 1 species